rnacentral:rRNA from 1 species
GACGAACGCUGGCGGCGUGCUUAACACAUGCAAGUCGAACGGAAAGGCCCUGCUUUUGUGGGGUGCUCGAGUGGCGAACGGGUGAGUAACACGUGAGUAACCUGCCCUUGACUUUGGGAUAACUUCAGGAAACUGGGGCUAAUACCGGAUAGGAGCUCCUGCUGCAUGGUGGGGGUUGGAAAGUUUCGGCGGUUGGGGAUGGACUCGCGGGUUAUCAGCUUGUUGGUGGGGUAGUGGCUUACCAAGGCUUUGACGGGUAGCCGGCCUGAGAGGGUGACCGGCCAAAUUGGGACUGAGAUACGGCACAGACUCCUACGGGAGGCAGCAGUGGGGAAUAGUGCACAAUGGGCGGAAGCCUGAUGCAGCAACGCCGCGUGCGGGAUGAAGGCCUUCGGGUUGUAAAACGCUUUCGCCUGUGACGAAGCGUGAGUGACGGUAAUGGGUAAAGAAGCACCGGCUAACUACGUG